UACGGAGGACGCGAGCGUUAUCCGGAUUUAUUGGGUUUAAAGGGUGCGCAGGCGGCACGGCAAGCCGGCGGUCAAAUCGCGGGGCUCAACCCCGCCCAGCCGUCGGAACUGCCGGGCUAGAGUGGCGAGAAGUGCGCGGAAUGCGUGGUGUAGCGGUGAAAUGCAUAGAUAUCACGCAGAACUCCGAUUGCGAAGGCAGCGCACCGGCGCCCUACUGACGCUCAGGCACGAAAGCGUGGGUAUCGAACAGG
rnacentral:rRNA from 1 species